UACAGAGGGGGCAAGCGUUGUUCGGAAUUACUGGGCGUAAAGGGCGCGUAGGUGGCCUUCUAAGUUGAACGUGAAAUCCCUGGGCUCAACCCAGGAACUGCGUCCAAGACUGGGAGGCUUGAAUCCGGGAGAGGGAUGCGGAAUUCCAGGUGUAGCGGUGAAAUGCGUAGAUAUCAAGAGGAACACCAGUGGCGAAGGCGAGUCCCUGGACGAUACCUGACACUGAGGCACGAAAGCUAGGGGAGCAAACAGG
rnacentral:rRNA from 1 species